GUGGGGAAUAUUGGUCAAUGGACGGAAGUCUGAACCAGCCAAGUAGCGUGCAGGAUGACGGCCCUAUGGGUUGUAAACUGCUUUUGUACGGGAAUAAAGUGCGGGACGUGUCCCGUUUUGUAUGUACCGUAAGAAUAAGGACCGGCUAAUUCCGUGCCAGCAGCCGCGGUAAUACGGAAGGUCCGGGCGUUAUCCGGAUUUAUUGGGUUUAAAGGGAGCGCAGGCUGGAGAUUAAGCGUGACGUGAAAUGCCGCGGCUCAACCGUGGAAGUGCGUCGCGAACUGGUUUCCUUGAGUGUAUUCGACGUCAGCGGAAUUCGUGGUGUAGCGGUGAAAUGCUUAGAUAUCACGAAGAACUCCGAUUGCGAAGGCAGCUGGCGAGGCUAUAACUGACGCUAAAGCUCGAAGGUGCGGGUAUCGAACAGG
rnacentral:rRNA from 1 species